AUGGAGCAAUCGUCGGACCGUCGGAACAUUGAUGGCGCUGCAAGGGAGCUUCCCCGAUGCUAUGAUGGAGCAUCGUCGGAUCACCGGGAUAUGGCCGCUGCCAUGAUGGAGCAUUAUCGGACCGCCGGAACAUCGAUGGCAAUGCAAGGGAGCAUUACUGGUGCUACAAUGGAGCAUCGUCGGGCCGUCGAAACAUUGGCGGAGCUGCAACAGAGCAUCGUCAAGCCGUUGGAGCAUCACUGGCGCUGCAAUGGAGCAUCGUCCGGUCGCUGGGGCAUCCACGAUGCUAUGAUGGAACAUUCGUCGAAACAUCAACGACGGUAA
rnacentral:rRNA from 1 species